rnacentral:rRNA from 1 species
GAAUUUUGCGCAAUGGACGAAAGUCUGACGCAGCAACGCCGCGUGAGGGAUGACGGCCUUCGGGUUGUAAACCUCUUUUCUCAGGGACGAUAAUGACGGUACCUGAGGAAUAAGCCCCGGCUAACUACGUGCCAGCAGCCGCGGUAAUACGUAGGUGGCAAGCGUUGUCCGGAUUUACUGGGCGUAAAGGGCGCGUAGGCGGCUUAUCAAGUCAGGCGUGAAAUUCCCGGGCUCAACCUGGGGGCUGCGCUUGAUACUGAUGAGCUUGAAUGCGGGAGAGGAUAGUGGAAUUCCCAGUGUAGAGGUGAAAUUCGUAGAUAUUGGGAAGAACACCGGUGGCGAAGGCGGCUAUCUGGCCCGUAAUUGACGCUGAGGCGCGAAAGCGUGGGGAGCAAAC